UUUCAAGUAACAUUUGUUUAGAUCCUAAUACUGAAGCUACGAUAAAUACCACAAUGAUGAAGUGAAAUAAUUAUAUAAGUUAUCAAAUAUCAUAUACUAAGUUCUUAAUUACGUUUUAAAGUUUCGUUUUCAUUAUUUUGAACUGAUUUAAGUAUGAUAUUACUAGGUCAUGAGAAUAACUUUAAGAAAGCUUCGAGACAGACUAUGGGUGACUUUGGCGCUGGUUACCAUUAUGGAAAAAUAAUGCAUUAUUCAUCCUAUGCAUUUUCGAAGAACGGCAAACCUUCUAUAAUACCCAAAUGAACGAAGUCCUGUCGUUUCGAUUUCAAAGGGAGUUCCGUUUUAUGAGAAGACUUCGUUCAGCCAACCCAGGUCCUCUUGACGAAAUCCGCAGCGCGUUCACCAAUCAUAAUAGCAGGCGCAUUCGUGUUACCGGAAACGACUCUUGGCAUGAUACUGGUAUCCGCCACUCUGACUCCCCUCACUCCCCUCACUCUCAAUUGAUUGUCUACCACCGCGAGAGGAUCAUCCGGUGGGCCCAUUUUGCAGGAACCUGCUUGAUGAUUCUCUGGUGCGGUGUCGUGCUUUACAGCGCAUUCCCAGUAUGCGUCGCAACCGAAUUUCAAAUGCUCGCAAUUCUUCACUGGUGUUCGAUCCAUCUGCAAUCCGUAUCUGUCAAAAAAAAGUAAUAGAAAACAAUAAAGAAAAUAAUGUGGCGAAAGUAGUAAAACAAGAUAAUAUUAAAGUGACUGAAAUAAGAUCAAUUUCAUGAUUUAAAAAGUUAAUAAUUCGAAUAAUUUAGAAAACAUUGUCAGAAAAAAUGCGCAAAUACGAUAUAAUAUUUUACAGAAAUUAAACAUUAUGGUGUAGUAUAUCUCAAUUUAUAUCGGUUCCCAGAGUAAAAUAUAUAAAACUCGCGGGGCAAUUAACGCGUCAAACUUAUUGCACUUCUAUCCAAAUUUUAGGUCUUUAUCUACUUCUGAAAACCCUGAUAACAUAUAUGUAGUCGAGUUCUACUUUCCACGUAUGAUCCAUCAGGAAACAGUGACACUUGAUCGACGAUGCAAUUGACCUCCGUUAAAGUUAAAAGCGUUCAACCAGAAGAAAUCGAUAGUCGAGUAUAAAUUACACUUGAAUAGAUAGUGUAUCGUUAUACCUGCUGAGAGCCUCGGUUUCAGACAAUUUGAUACUGAAUUUAAUGGCCUCUACAAGACCAGCCACGUCGUCAGGGUGGUUCAGAUAUUUCGGGUAAAUCAGCGGCUUCGAAAGUGGAUCGUUGUUUCGUAGACGAAGGUAACCA
rnacentral:misc_RNA from 1 species